UUUUAAAACGUCAGUAGAGCAUUUGGUGGAUGCCUAGGUGCACGCAGUCUAUGACUGGCCUGAGCUGCGCGGAGCUGUUUUACUAAAUCGGCUGUGAAGCGCAGGUUGCCUCAAUGGGAGCUUUACCCGCUUGGCGCGAGGUCCAAAGCGUCUGUUAAGACGGCAACGCGGGGAACUGAAACAUCUUAGUACCCGCAGGAAAGGAAAUCUUUUAGUGAGACUCCGUUAGUAGCGGCGAGCGAACUCGGAAUGGGCUGAGCGCGCUAAGUGCGUGGCGAAGAGCAAUUGUCUGGAACGGCAAGCUGAGCAACUGGUGAAAGCCCGGCCUCGAGCUGGCUCUUGGCGCUAGAAAGUAGGUCGGGACACGAGAAAUCCUGUCUGAACAUGGGGGGACCACCUUCCAAGCCUAAGUACUCGCGUGCAACCGAUAGUGGACUAGUACCGUGAGGGAAAGGUGAAACAGAGAUCUGAACAAGACAGUGAAACAGAACCUGAAACCGAAUGCUUACAAACAGUCGAAGGGCGCUGCGGCCUGACGACGUACCUUUUGCAUAAUGGGUCAACGAGUUAGUGUCGUGAGCAGAGCUUAAGCUUGAGUGUGUAGGCGUAGCGAAAGCGAGUCUUAAAAGGGCGUUUAGUUCGCGGCAUUAAACCCGAAACCGAGUGAUCUAACCAUGAGCAGGCUGAGGGCUGGCUAACGCCGGCUGGAGGGCCGAACCCGUGUCUGUUGCAAAAGGCUGGGAUGACUUGUGGUUAGGGGUGAAAGGCUAAUCAAACUCGGAGAUAGCUGGUUCUCUGCGAAAUCUAUUUAGGUAGAGUGCCAAGUGGACGCUGACUGGGGUAGAGCACUGGAUAGGUGAUGGGAGGUCACACUUUACUGAUCUUAACCAAACUCCGAAUACUGUCUGAACGAUACUUGGUAGCCACACCCCGAGCGCUAACGUUCGGGGUGGAGAGGGCAACAACCCAGACCUGAAGCUAAGGUCCUUAAAUCUAAGCUGAAUGUGGAAGGCUGUCGGCGCCCUGUGACAAUCAGGAUGUGGGCUUAGAAGCGGCCAUCGUCUAAAGAAAGCGUAACAGCUCACUGAUCUAGGAGCGACGGCACCGAAAAUGUAACGGGGCUAAGCUUAGUACCGAAGCUGGGGGCGACAGCCGAUUUGAGCUGCGCGGUAGCAGAGCGUUCCGUAGGCCUGAGAAGGCGCUUCGUGAGGCGCGCUGGAGGUAUCGGAAGUGAGAAUGUUGACAUGAGUAGCGAGAAUGAGAGUGAGAAACUUUCACGCCUUAAAGACCAAGGUUUCCUGCUGCGAUCUUAAAGUUAAUCUGAGUGGGGUUAGCCGGCACCUAAGGUAAAGCAGAAGUGCAUAGCCGAUGGAAAUCACGUUAAUAUUCGUGAGCCGUUUUUGGGUGACUUGGCUGCUUGCGGCGUUAGCUCUUAAUGGAUUGAGUGGGCGCGGCGAGCGCCAACAGGAAAAAGCCCAAAAGUUCUUUGGCCGUACCAAAACCGACGCUGGUGGUCUAGUAGAGCAUACUGAGGCGUAGAGCUAAUUGUGCUGAAGGAACUCGGCAAAUUACACGCGUAACUUAGGGACGAGCGUGACCUGGGGGCGGGCAACCGCUUCGGGUGUAACACAAAUGGGGGGAGCGACUGUUUACCAAAAACACAGGACUCUGCAAAAUCGCAAGAUGACGUAUAGGGUCUGACGCCUGCCCGGUGCUGGAAGGUAAAAGUGGAGUGUUUGAAACGCGCUCUGCAUAAGCCUCAGUAAACGGCGGCCGUAACUAUAACGGUCCUAAGGUAGCGAAAUUCCUUGUCGGAUAAGUUCCGACCCGCACGAAUGGCGUAACGACUUCCCUACUGUCUCCAGCACAAGCUCAGCGAAAUUGAACUCCCCGUGAAGAUGCGGGGUACCUGCGGUAAGACGGAAAGACCCCGUGCACCUUAACUGCAGCUUUACAUUGACCGAAGCUUGGAGCUGUAUAGAGUAGGUGGUAGGCGAUGACUUCUGGGCGCUAGCUCAGAUCAAGCCCCAAGUGAAACACCACCCUGUUUCGGGCUUCGUUCUGACUGAGGCUAUGUCAACCUUAGCCCAAGACAGUGUAUGGUGGGUAGUUUGACUGGGGCGGUCGCCUCCAAAAAAGUAACGGAGGCGUGCGAAGGUAAACUCAAAACGGUUGGAAACCGUUUGUAGAGCGCAAUGGUAAAAGUUUGCCUAACUGCAAGACGCACGUGUCAAGCAGAGACGAAAGUCGGCCAUAGUGAUCCGGUGGUUCCGCGUGGAAGGGCCAUCGCUCAACGGAUAAAAGGUACGCCGGGGAUAACAGGCUAAUAACUCCUGAGAGCUCUUAUCGACGGGGUUGUUUGGCACCUCGAUGUCGACUCAUCGCAUCCUGGGGCUGAAGCAGGUCCCAAGGGUAUGGCUGUUCGCCAUUUAAAGCGGUACGUGAGUUGGGUUCAGAACGUCGCGAGACAGUUCGGUCCCUAUCUACCGUAGGUGGAAGAGUGUUGACGGGGGCUGUCUCUAGUACGAGAGGACCGAGAUGGACGUACCAAUGGUGUUCCUGUUGUUCCGCCAGGGGCAUCGCAGGGUAGCUAAGUACGGAAUAGAUAACUGCUGAAAGCAUCUAAGCGGGAAGCUAGCCCGAAGACUAACACUCUAUUGAGAGUUGUGACAGAUUAUCACGUAAAUAGGCCAGAUGUGUAAGCGCGGUAACGCGCUUCAGCUUACUGGUACUAAAGACUCGAAAGUUUUGAAAAC
rnacentral:ncRNA from 18 species